GCCGGGCGUGGUGGCGGGCGCCUGUAGUCCCAGUUACUCUGGAGGCUGAGGCAGGAGAAUCACUUGAACCCAGGGGGCAGAGGCUGCAGUGAGCUGAGAUCACGCCACUGUACUCCAGCCUGGGUGACAGAGUGAGACCCUAUCUCAA
rnacentral:SRP_RNA from 2 species